GGGGGAUUAGCUCAGCUGGCUAGAGCGCCUGCCUUGCAAGCAGGAGGUCAGCGGUUCGAAAACGCUAUCCUCCACCA
rnacentral:tRNA from 1 species